GUGGGGAAUCUUCCGCAAUGGACGAAAGUCUGACGGAGCGACGCCGCGUGAGUGAAGAAGGCCUUCGGGUCGUAAAGCUCUGUCAUCAGGGACGAACGGCCGGUGGAGUGGAAAGCCACCGGAUUGACGGUACCUGAGAAGGAAGCCACGACUAACUACGUGCCAGCAGCCGCGGUAAUACGUAGGUGGCAAGCGUUGUCCGGAAUUAUUGGGCGUAAAGCGCGCGCAGGUGGGAUCUUAAGUCCAUUUUGAAAGUUCGGAGCUCAACUCCGUGAUGGGAUGGAAACUGGGAUUCUUGAGUACCGGAGAGGAAAGCGGAAUUCCCCGUGUAGCGGUGAAAUGCGUAGAUAUGGGGAGGAACACCAGUGGCGAAGGCGGCUUUCUGGACGGUGUCUGACACUGAGGCGCGAAAGCUAGGGGAGCGAACGGGAUUAGAAACCCCUGUAGUCC
rnacentral:rRNA from 1 species